rnacentral:rRNA from 1 species
GACGUAGGGUGCGAGCGUUGUCCGGAUUUAUUGGGCGUAAAGAGCUCGUAGGCGGCUCGUCGCGUCGACCGUGAAAACCCGCGGCUUAACUGCGGGCUUGCGGUUGAUACGGGCGGGCUAGAGUUCGGUAGGGGAGACUGGAAUUCCUGGUGUAGCGGUGAAAUGCGCAGAUAUCAGGAGGAACACCGGUGGCGAAGGCGGGUCUCUGGGCCGAUACUGACGCUGAGGAGCGAAAGCGUGGGAGCGAACAGG